GUGGGGGUUCCCCCUUCGUCCCAAGGCUGCAGGAUGGUGUCCUGGAUGAUCUGUUGCCUGGUGGUGUUGGUGUUUGGGAUGCUGUACCCAGCUUAUGCUUCCUACAAGGCUGUGAAGACCAAGAACAUUCGUGAAUAUGUCCGGUGGAUGAUGUACUGGAUAGCCUUUGCACUGUUCAUGGCUGUGGAGACCUUCACAGACAUCUUUAUUCCCUGGUUCCCUUUCUACUACGAGAUCAAAAUGGCCUUUGUGCUGUGGUUGCUAUCACCUUACACCAAAGGGGCCAGCCUGCUUCACCACAAGUUUGUCCACCCAUCCUUGUCCUGUCAUGAGAACGAGAUUGACACCUGCACCGUGCAGGCCAAGGAGCGCAGCUAUGAGACGGUGCUCAUCUUUGGGAAAUGGAGCCUCAACAUUGCUGCUUCAGCCACUGUGCAGGCUGCCACCAAGAGUCAGGGUGCACUGGCCGGGAGGCUGCAAAGCUUCUCCAUGCAGGACCUGCGCUCCAUCCCUGAUGUCCUUGCCCCCGCCUACCAGGAUCCCCUCUACCUGGAGGACCAAGUACCUCGCCGCAGGCCACCCAUUGGGUACCUCACGCUCCCUGAAGGUUCGGACAAGGAAAAAGACCAUUUCUUCAGACAUGAACAGCUAGGGUCUGCAGAGCCUGGUCUAAUCUUACCUCUUGCUUUAUGGGGCGCUGGGGGCUGUUUGGAGGGGGCCUCUGGCUGCACGUCUGACCUGCCUACACCAGCCGCUCAGGCUCUGUCCUCCUGGCUUCUGGUGUCGUUAAGGGCCAGGUGCUGCCGGGGCCAUGCACAGGGCUAUACCUGUAAUGUACCAAAGCAGGCUGGGCCCAGGAUUCUAUUUAUUGUCUUUCUCAUCCUUCUACCCUCCCGGGUGUGUGGGACCAGAGUCCUUCCCAAACCUCUGCAAGUGA